CAGCAGCCGCGGUAAUACGUAGGGUGCAAGCGUUAAUCGGAAUUACUGGGCGUAAAGCGUGCGCAGGCGGUUAUAUAAGUCAGAUGUGAAAUCCCCGGGCUCAACCUGGGAACUGCAUUUGAGACUGUAUGGCUAGAGUGUGUCAGAGGGGGGUAGAAUUCCACGUGUAGCAGUGAAAUGCGUAGAUAUGUGGAGGAAUACCGAUGGCGAAGGCAGCCCCCUGGGAUAACACUGACGCUCAUGCACGAAAGCGUGGGGAGCAAACAGGAUUAGAUACCCCGGUAGUCCCUGUCUCUUAUAC
rnacentral:rRNA from 1 species